GAAGGUGGUUCAGCAGGCCACCUAUAAAGAGCCCUCAGAUCGGAAAUGGGCGAGUUUUCUCCCCAUUCUCGAGCUCAGGUGAGUUUAGGUCCUCCUUUGGUCGUUUUCAUGUUUUUCUCUACCCACCCUUCAAGUUUUCAUGAGAUCUACCCUUGUUUUGAAGAUUUGAAACCCAAAUAGAAGUUUUGGAGUUUGGAGGCUUUUGGAGCUUGGAUCCUCCACACCUCCGAGUUAGGAAUCACACCACCCCUCGAUCUUCAAGAG
rnacentral:lncRNA from 1 species